rnacentral:rRNA from 1 species
AGCAUAUCAAUAAGCGGAGGAAAAGAAACUAACAAGGAUUCCCCUAGUAACUGCGAGUGAAGCGGGAAAAGCUCAAAUUUAAAAUCUGACAGUCUUUGGCUGUCCGAGUUGUAGUCUGGAGAAGCGUUUUCCGCGCUGGACCGUGUACAAGUCUCCUGGAACGGAGCGUCAUAGAGGGUGAGAAUCCCGUCUUUGACACGGACUACCAGUGCUUUGUGAUGCGCUCUCAAAGAGUCGAGUUGUUUGGGAAUGCAGCUCAAAAUGGGUGGUAAACUCCAUCUAAAGCUAAAUAUUGGCGAGAGACCGAUAGCGAACAAGUACCGUGAGGGAAAGAUGAAAAGCACUUUGGAAAGAGAGUUAAACAGUACGUGAAAUUGCUGAAAGGGAAACGCUUGAAGUCAGUCGCGUUUGCUAGGACUCAGCCUUGCCUCGGCUUGGUGCAUUUCCUAGUAGACGGGCCAGCAUCACUUUUGGCUGCGGGAAAAAGAUCAGAGGAAUGUGGCACCUUCGGGUGUGUUAUAGCCUCUGGUUGUAUACCGUGGCUGGGAGUGAGGAUCUCAGCACGCCUUUAUGGCGGGGCUUCGGCCACCUUCGUGCUUAGGAUGCUGGCGUAAUGGCUUUAAACGACCCGUCUUGAAACACGGACCAAGGAGUCUAACAUGCCUGCGAGUGUUUGGGUGGAAAACCCGAGCGCGUAAUGAAAGUGAAAGUUGGGACCUCUGUCGUGGAGGGCACCGACGCCCGGACCAGACCUUCUGUGACGGAUCCGCGGUAGAGCAUGUAUGUUGGGACCCGAAAGAUGGUGAACUAUGCCUGAAUAGGGUGAAGCCAGAGGAAACUCUGGUGGAGGCUCGUAGCGAUUCUGACGUGCAAAUCGAUCGUCAAAUUUGGGUAUAGGGGCGAAAGACUAAUCGAACCAUCUAGUAGCUGGUUCCUGCCGA